rnacentral:rRNA from 1 species
GAUGAACGCUGGCGGCGCGCCUAACACAUGCAAGUCGAACGGCACCCCUCCUCGGAGGGAAGCGAGUGGCGAACGGCUGAGUAACACGUGGAGAACCUGCCCCCUCCCCCGGGAUAGCCGCCCGAAAGGACGGGUAAUACCGGAUACCCCGGGGUGCCGCAUGGCACCCCGGCUAAAGCCCCGACGGGAGGGGAUGGCUCCGCGGCCCAUCAGGUAGACGGCGGGGUGACGGCCCACCGUGCCGACAACGGGUAGCCGGGUUGAGAGACCGACCGGCCAGAUUGGGACUGAGACACGGCCCAGACUCCUACGGGGGGCAGCAGUGGGGAAUCUUGCGCAAUGGGGGGAACACUGACGCGGCGACGCCGCGUGCGGGACGGAGGCCUUCGGGUCGUAAACCGCUUUCAGCAGGGAAGAGUCAAGACUGUACCUGCAGAAGAAGCCCCGGCUAACUACGUG